UAGCGACGUCAACUUUUGCCUAAACUGACCGGAUAAGAACCAGUCCACGAAGUAUUAUCACGCUCAUUGCUCUUAGGUCAACCUAUGUUAAUUUUUAUCUAUACUGUUAUCAACGCCGUACAUUUAGUAUCGUACAUAAGCAAAAUGAAGAAGUACCUCGUGUAUCUUGUUAUCAUAAAUUUUAUUCAAAUUGAAUGUCAAAGUGUUUAUGAAAGUCAAAAUAAAGCAAACUUGAAGAAAAAUGUCGCAGAUUUUAGGAUUUUCAGACGCUAUCCCUUUGCAAGUAAUUAUGGAGACGGAGGUUUCCUCGGCUUUAUGUUGAAUUUAAGAAACUGUCCUGAGGAACAAAUAAGAGCCCCAUGGGGUCCAUGCAUUACUUGUAAAGAAUGGAUGGAGAAAUUGAAAAAACCCGGCCCUGGAUGUAUAUGAAAUGAAAAUUUAUCUGUAAUUAAUCUUAAGAAAAUUAUAAUUAAUGUCACUAUUAUUAGUCACUAGUCUAAUUAUUUAAGUUCUACUUAAAAUAAUUAUUAUUUGAC